rnacentral:rRNA from 1 species
GCCGAGAGGAAGGUGGGAUGACGUCAAGUCCUCAUGGCCCUUACGGGCUGGGCUACACACGUGCUACAAUGGUGGUGACAGUGGGCAGCGAGACCGCGAGGUCGAGCUAAUCUCCAAAAGCCAUCUCAGUUCGGAUUGCACUCUGCAACUCGAGUGCAUGAAGUUGGAAUCGCUAGUAAUCGCAGAUCAGCAUGCUGCGGUGAAUACGUUCCCGGGCCUU